GACCUCGGAUCAGGUAGGGAUACCCGCUGAACUUAAGCAUAUCAAUAAGCGGAGGAAAAGAAACCAACAGGGAUUGCCCUAGUAACGGCGAGUGAAGCGGCAACAGCUCAAAUUUGAAAUCUGGCUCUUUCAAAGUCCGAGUUGUAAUUUGCAAAGGGCGCUUUGGCUUUGGCAGCGGUCCAAGUUCCUUGGAACAGGACGUCACAGAGGGUGAGAAUCCCGUACGUGGUCGCUAGCUAUUGCCGUGUAAAGCCCCUUCGACGAGUCGAGUUGUUUGGGAAUGCAGCUCUAAAUGGGAGGUAAAUUUCUUCUAAAGCUAAAUAUUGGCCAGAGACCGAUAGCGCACAAGUAGAGUGAUCGAAAGAUGAAAAGCACUUUGGAAAGAGAGUCAAACAGCACGUGAAAUUGUUGAAAGGGAAGCGCUUGCAGCCAGACUUGCUUGCAGUUGCUCAUCCGGGCUUUUGCCCGGUGCACUCUUCUGCAGGCAGGCCAGCAUCAGUUUUG
rnacentral:rRNA from 1 species